GACGAACCGUACGAACGUUAUUCGGAAUUACUGGGCUUAAAGGGUGCGUAGGCGGCGCAGUAAGUUGGGUGUGAAAUCCCUCGGCUUAACCGAGGAAUUGCGCCCAAAACUACUGUGCUCGAGGGAGGUAGAGGUGAGCGGAACUUAGGGUGGAGCGGUGAAAUGCGUAGAGAUCCGGAGGAACACCGACGGCGUAGGCAGCGCCCUGGACGACACCUGACGCUGAGGCACGAAAGCUGGGGGAGCAAACAGG
rnacentral:rRNA from 1 species